GGGGAUUUAGCUCAGCGGCAUAAGCACCUGCCUUGCAAGCAGGUGGUCGUGAGUUCAAUCCCUA
rfam:Cavia porcellus supercont2_10 genomic scaffold, whole genome shotgun sequence.